AGCAGCCGCGGUAAUUCCAGCUCCAAUAGCGUAUAUUAAAGUUGUUGCAGUUAAAAAGCUCGUAGUUGAAUUUCGGGGUUAGUAGAUUGGUCAUGCCUCUGGUAUGCACUGGUCUUACUGACUCCUCCUUCCUGAUGAACCGUAAUGCCAUUAAUUUGGUGUUGCGGGGAAACUGGACUGUUACUUUGAAAAAAUUAGAGUGUUUAAGGCAGGCUCGCGCUUGAAUACAUUAGCAUGGAAUAAUGAAAUAGGACGUUUAUCCUAUUUUGUUGGUUUCUAGGAUUGACGUAAUGAUUAAUAGGGAUAGUUGGGGGCAUUAGUAUUCAAUUGUCAGAGGUGAAAUUCUUGGAUUUAUUGAAGACUAACUACUGCGAAAGCAUUUGCCAAGGAUGUUUUCAUUAAUCAAGAACGAAAGUUAGGGGAUCGAAGACGAUCAGAUACCGUCGUAGUCUUAACCAUAAACUAUGCCGACUAGGGAUCGGAUGAUGUUAAUUUUUUAAUGACUCA
rnacentral:rRNA from 1 species